AAUCUAAAUUCAAAAGCUUAUUAUCUUUUUUCUUAUUAGUCAGGGGUAAAAUGGUCUCAAUUUCACUAAAAGAAUUAGAAAAGUGCCUUUUCCCUCUAAAGUGUGUAAAACGUAUAAACUUUCCUUUAAAGUGCUCUAUUAUGCAACUCUCCCUUAUUUUAACUGCUAAUAUACUAUUAUAUGUAUGUUGUAUCUAUAAUUUGCUUAUAAAUAUAUUUUAAAUUGUAU
rnacentral:sRNA from 1 species